UGUAUACUCCCUCCGUCCCAAAAUUCUUGUCUAAGAUUUGUCUAGAUACAGAUGUAUCUAAUACUAAAAUGUGACUUGAUACAUCCGUAUUUAGACAAAUUCAAGACAAGAAUUUUGGGACGGAGGGAGUACAAU
rnacentral:pre_miRNA from 1 species